rnacentral:lncRNA from 1 species
CUUUUAAAAGGUAGUGAGAGUCUCAUCGUUGGAGAUAUUCAAAAGAAGGCAGGAAGAAACUUGGCAAGUAGACUAUAGAGAGAAAUCAGGAAGUACACGAAAAAAAAUGUAAAGAAACUGGAGAGAUGCACAUCCUGAACUUAAUAUAUAUCCCAAACUCCUAAACUGAAGAAGGAAUGGAAUAAGCAUAUACUCCAUACUCCAGAAGCAGAAACUAAUGUUUUAAAGGCAGAAGUCCGCAGAAGGCCGCAGAACUCCGCAGAAGGCCGCAGAACUCCGCAGAAGGCCGCAGAACUCCGCAGAAGUCCGCACACAGUAAGGAAGUUGCCUCCGCGUCCAGCCCGCUGAUUGAGCAGGCCGAGAGCCAAUGCGCAAAGAAGGUCCGUUUCCGUUUGUUUUCCUCAUACUUUUCCUUCUUUCUGACCAGUAAGCCACAGAGUUAUGGAAAAGGCUGGGGAAGAAUCUGUGGCCGAGUCCUUCUUCCCACAGGUCCACUAAUUAUGGAGAACCAAAGUUUUUUCUUAAAACUGACGGGACAAUCGAUGAACCUGACCACUGCAGACAUGGACUUCCCUAAACUUCAAUCUGUGGAGAGAGGCCUCAGAGUCUUCACUCGCUAUUUCAUUUUCAGGCUCCUUCCAGCAAAAUAAAAGUAAAAACAACAGCUAUUU